rnacentral:rRNA from 1 species
AACGAACGCUGGCGGCGCGCUUAACACAUGCAAGUCGAACGAGAAGGCGUAGCAAUACGCUUGUAAAGUGGCGAACGGGUGAGGAAUACAUGGGUAACCUACCCUCGAGUGGGGGAUAACCCGCCGAAAGGCGGGCUAAUACCGCGUACGCUUCCGAUCUUGCGGGAUCGGAAGGAAAGCUGUCCCUUGGGGAUGGCGCUCAAGGAUGGGGCUCAUGUCCUAUCAGCUUGUUGGCAGGGAACGGCCUACCAAGGCAUCGACGGGUAGCUGGUCUGAGAGGACGAUCAGCCACACUGGCACUGCGACACGGGCCAGACUCCUACGGGGAGGCAGCAGUGAGGAAUAUUGCGCAAU